UUUCCGUAGGUGAACCUGCGGAAGGAUCAUUACCGAAUUGUCAAACGGGUUGUUGUUGGUCUUCAAACGGGGACAUGUGCACGCUCUGUUUACACAUCCACUCACACCUGUGCACCCUCCGUAGUUCUAUGGUCUGGGGGACCCUGUCUUCCUGCCGUGGUUCUACGUCUUUACACACACUCUGUAAUAAAGUCUUAUGGAAUGUAUGCCGCGUCUAACGCAAUACAAUACAACUUUCAGCAACGGAUCUCUUGGCUCUC
rnacentral:misc_RNA from 1 species